UGUAAACAAUUUGUUUUGAUUUCCCCUUCCUUAUCUGAUUUUAUUGUUGGACUCUUGAAUCUGUGGUUAUACAUGUCCGAAGUUGAACCAGCAUUUUAAUUUGAAUUUGAUGUUAGCAUUUCAAUAAUUGGACUUGACUACCCAUAUCUUGUCGAACUUGCUAAAUGCUUGUGAUUCAUUUUACCUUGAUAUGAUUAUGCGAUGAUGUUGGAUUCAGUGAAUUUCACUGCCAUAUCUUGUCGAACUUGCUAGAUGCUUGUGAUUCAUUUUACCUUGAUUAAUUUGAAUUUGAUGUUAGCAUUUCAAUAAUUGGACUUGACUACCCGUAUCUUGUCGAACUUGCUAAAUGCUUGUGAUUCAUUUUACCUUGAUAUGAUUAUGCGAUGAUGUUGGAUUCAGUGAAUUUCACUGCCAUAAAUUACUUUGUGAAACAUAUGGUCUAUAUUAGACAUUUAAAUGUAGUUAAGGGUAUCUUAAUGACACUUUAUAUGAGGAUGCUAAUUAUUUUUAAUUAUCAAUGGGGCAUUACUGCUUAGCAUUUAUUUUUAUUAACAUCAGGGACAUGCUUCAAUAUGUUUGUAGUUUGAGAAUCACGAACAUUGCUAUGCUUGGUAAUUUGGAAAUCCAUUUUGAAUUUCAUGUGAUGAAUGGUUUUUUUUUUUCAUUUUUAGGGCUUGAUGUGUAAAUUUACAUCAAGAUUUUGGAGAUAAAUCAAUGUCCUAUUUGUUAAUGCUAGAGAUAAAUUUAUGUGGAGUUGAUAAGUUUGUGAUCUGAUUAUGCAUUAUUUAUAAUGUGC
rnacentral:lncRNA from 1 species